rnacentral:rRNA from 1 species
GAUGAACGCUGGCGGCGUGCCUAAUACAUGCAAGUCGAGCGAAGCGGGGACGGGUGAGUAACACGUGGAUAACCUCCUAUAAGACUGGGAUAACUUCGGGAAACCGGCGCUAACCCGGAUAAUUAUUGAUGGCUCUGCGCUGCCUUAGCUAGUUGGGAAGGUAACGGCUGACAAAGGCAACGAUGCAUCGCCGACCUGAGAGGGUGAUCGGCCACACUGGAAGUGAGACACGGUCCAGACUCCGACGGUAGGCAGCAGUAGUGAAUCUUCCGCAAUGGGCGAAAGCCUGACGGAGCAACGCAGCGUGUGUGAUGAAGGUCUUCGGAUCGUAAAACUCUGUUAUUAGGGAAGCGGUACCUAAUCAGAAAGCCACGGCUAACGACGUGCCAGCCGCCGCGGUAAUUC